GGAGGUGCUGGUGCUGUGGUCUGCCCCUGGCACAGAUCCCAUGCUGUCCCCCAGGGGACAGCCGACCUACAGCACGCAGGUGGGCUCUGGUGGGCUCCAGCAGCCUGCUGGGGGGGCACGGCAGCCACCGAGCCCCCGUGUGCCCCUCGCUCGCUUUGCGCAAGUGGAGCUGGGAGGGUUAAAAUGCCCGGCUGCUCUCCGAGGAGGGCUCCUGCUUCCCUCCACGUGGGCAGGGGAGCGGGGUAGGGCUGAGCAGAGCAGAGUCGGGCUGCAGCCUCUGGCACAAUGCAGCAGGCGCUGCGCUGGCCCCGGCUGCCCUGGAGCAUCCUGCAGGGAGCAGCCCUGGCACCAGCACAGGGACUGCCCUGGCCCCCUCCCAAACCUCUGGGAGCGAGGGGCGGCAGGCAGAGCCCUCCUGCCGACGGAGGAGGCGGCGACGCCGGAGCAGAGCUUCCCAUCAGCACCUUAUAUUUACUGCAAGGUCCUCUGGCUGUGACCUUUAAAAGACAAGGUGGCCCGGCAGCCUGGAGCCGUCAGCCACUCGGCAGGAGCUGGGCCAGGUGCGUCGAGCAGCGGGCUGGGAGCUGAGCGAGAGGUCCGGGCACGCAGACUGCGACUCAGACAAGUGUGAAUAUGGAUCCCAUAAUCACAAGCCCCUUACCCUAGAAAUAACCUCCUUGCUCCAGGGCACUGCACAUCGCGAAGAGUUCUGCUAGAACCUUUUGGGGUCUAUCCAAAUAGUGCCAUGUUUUGCCACUGUAUUCGGUUUGACCUGCUGCGUGUCUCUCCAAAUUAAGUUGGUGCCUCCCUUCUAUACCGUGCAGACAUCCUGCAGCCCAAGGAAGAACUGCCCGACACCAGCAGGAACGUGCUAGCCAGUGUUCAUGCACGGGUAGCAGGCAGGUAAGAGGCAGUACCCCGCUGCUCGCUGGGUCUCUGCUCCAGGGUUCAAAGCUAUGCCUGUUCAAAACUGGUAAACACAGUUAAGGGCAAGGCGUUAUGGAGAAAAACCCUCCAGCUUGGAGAGCCCGCACUUGCAACUGUUUGACCUUAGGCUGCCAUUACCCGUACAUGUUUUUCAAAUACAGGCGCUUCUGCUGCAGGAAUAAAACCAAGAAGAGAUGAAUCAUAUCUGAAAUCUCAUUACUUCUCUCGUUUUUCCUCCACUGCGAAAGCCAGAGGCCCUCUAGACCAGCUUCACGAAAGCUUGGAUUUGGGAAGGGUCCCAGCUGCUCACCCCAAGAAACCAUCCAGAGGAGUCAGAGGAAAUACAUAAGGCGAACACCUGAUACUUCUCCUGCCACCUGGAGAUCCACUGCUCCCCUAAGCCCUGCGGAGCAGAAAGCCACAGCGAUGGCCCUGCAGCUGGGGGCACCAAGCUUCUGGAGGCAGCACCCACACCCCCUGCACUCCCUACAGAACCGAGAGUGAAAAUAACACCGCAUGCAAAUGGCUGGCAGGGGCUGCAGGGUGGUGAGGGGCCGUGCCAGCCCUGUGCAGCAGCACAACAGCGAGCACGGAUCAGCAACAGUGAGCAGGGUGCAGUGAGUGCCUCCACCCUGUCACUGCUGAUCCCCUGCUAAACUUCCGUCUCUUUUCAUGGCCAGACUUGCUUCCCUGACUCCUUUUCUCUUUCUAAAUACAUUUUUCUCAGAGAAGGAAGCUCAGAAACACUCUUGCAGGCUCAGACAAGAUUGCAGGCCCCGAGUUAGCUGCAUGGCUCUGUUCUAGGUUAGCAAACAGUCACAAAGGCUUUGCAGGCAGCACAUGGCGUCGCUGCCUACAGUCCGUGACGCAAAACCACCUCUGCUUCUCACCAUCCUCCCCUUCCACAAACAAAAUCCUUAAAAGUGGCAGCAAGCCUUCUGUAAUUCUCUCAAAUGUGCCUUUCAAAACCCAUGACCUGUUUGGGGGCUGGGUUUUGUGGAGGUGGAGGGGAGAGUUGUGUGGUUUGACUACGCUGUUUGCAUUGCUGCCAAGACACAAUUUGCUGCAUAACCCGCACUUGUGCACACAUGACCUACAAACACAGCACAAUCCAUGCUCAGCUCGCAUACUGCGCCUCAGUGCAGCAGGCCUGAGCAGCCUACUUCUCUCCUCCUGUUUGUUCAGCUAUGCUGCCAAAAGCUGUAGAACUCCACCAGAGAUAUGCUUCCCCAGAACUACCCUCAAUCCAGGAAUCAAAACUGCACCGGGCUUUUAAAUUCCCUCAGCACUGUGUGCACGAUAUGUACACUCAGAACUUCAAAGGUUCUCUGUUGCUGCGUGACUGAUGCUCCGGUUCUUAUUUGCCAUCAAAUCCUUCCUGGACUUCUUACCCUAUUUCUCAGAAUAAAUUCUGGUCCUGUCUUGGAACAAACUUUUGCAGGCUCUCCCUUAGCAGCAGCAAGCAGGUGCUGUGCGUGCACCAGCUGAAAACAGCACCCAACAACCCAGACUGUUGUUAUAUAUUAUAUCAUACCCAAAUCCCUCCACAGGAUAACAGACUUUACUAAAGGGACUGAAGAAGAAAUGCGUAGAUACCACAUCGCCUUCAUAUUUUCCUACUUUUGCACACAGGAUUUGAAUUCGGAGCACUUCGAUGUCUCCCUAAUCUUUUCAGGAAAAAGAAAAAAUCAUGUAGAGCAAAAAAUUACUCACCCGGUGUGUUCUGGGGCAGCCAACUUGUCUCUUGCACAAAGGGCUCUUCAGUGACUUAUUUGGAGCCUCUGAAUUAAUCAGAUGCUAAAUGUUCUUAACGUUGUGCGUGCAAGACAAGGAAAACAUAACAGUCUUUGGUUUCGGGUCUCUUAUUUAAGUUCAGUUUGGUGGUCACUUUUAACUCGCAAGAGGAAGUUGAGGACUACAUCGAGGGUACUGACAAAUCACGAGGCAGAAGGGACUGCUACAGAGGUGAGAACGGCAGAUGCAUUUGCCUGGGAGCACGUGGUGGGAACGCAGCUUCGGAAGAAGACAGUCCAGGUACAAGACGUGGCUGGGUCUGACUCCUUUCGCCACAGCAGACUGAGCCAUCAACCAUUAUGUCAAGAACACAGAAAUGCUUGGCAAGCAACCCUUUUGCAGCCUGUGCUCCCUUCUCUUUAGGAAUCCAGUUCAAGAACAAGCAGUGCAAGCAAGUCCCAUAGGCUGGGUCUUGUCCCGGUGAGGUAUCACAACACCAAGUCUGCUGAGCGUUCCUCUGGUACUGUCAGGGGCCAGAGAUAAGCACGCAUCUUACUGGCAAAAGAUCCACUGCCAGGAUGCUUUUCACAUCAUGGCCAGCUUCUCCCUCUUGGAACACAGGCAGGACACACAGCACGGGCUGCUUUCAGCUUGCACUCCCUCCUCAGUCACUCUGAAAGCUUAUUUUCAUCCUUCCUUUUCCUAUGGAGUACCACAGCAAUCAUUGUUUACUACCCCAGCAUCAGUGGUACACAGAAAAAACUUCCUCUCAAAAAGCAAAGGGAGAGAGAGAUCUCAUCCAUGCUCAACCUCAUUUAUGAUCCAGAACACCAUUAGCUUCAAGGUGGCAAUUCAGCUUUGCACCAGAAAGAUCUGCCCAGGAUUUAGCCUGCUCUUUGCGAAGAGUGGAAGGCGCAUCUUCUGGACAAGAAGUUAUUCAUUUCCACAAAGAACUGUCUGAUGUGCUAGGGCUGAAAGUGGAACAAUAAAGCCACUUCCUCUAGGCUGCAGAUCCCACCAACAUCCUUUCUCAGGAUAGUUUUAAUUGUAGAAACAUUGUGUCAUCACCAAGCACAACCUUUUUAAAUAUUACUUUAUUGUAGACAGCAGAAAAAUAAAUCUCUUUAUCUGAAGGAACAGACCUACAGCUAACCUGCUUUGCAGGCAGGAGGAACUCCACACCUGCGAUCAGCAGCCAGCACGCCUUUUCCCAACAUCCCAUGGCAGUUUUUAUAGCUAAGCAACAAAACAGGAUGGCAGUUUUACACGUUUGACUAUAUUCACCUGUACUCAGCCAAAUAAAGUCUCACAUAAAA